rnacentral:rRNA from 1 species
AUUGAACGCUGGCGGCAGGCCUAACACAUGCAAGUCGAACGAGUGGCGGACGGGUGAGUAAUGUCUGGGAAACUGCCUGAUGGAGGGGGAUAACUACUGGAAACGGUAGCUAAUACCGCAUACCAUCGGAUGUGCCCAGAUGGGAUUAGCUAGUAGGGGGGGUAAAGGCUCACCAAGGCGACGAUACCUAGCUGGCCUGAGAGGAUGACCAGCCACACUGGAACGGAGACACGGUCCAGACUCCUACGGGAGGCAGCAGUGGGGAAUCUUCGACAAUGGGCGCAAGCCUGAUGCAGCCAUGCCGCGUGUAUGAAGAAGGCCUUCGGAUUGUAAAGUUCUUUCGGCGGGGAGGCGUUACCUACCCAGAAAGCCCCGGCUAACUCCGUGCCAGCAGCCGCGGUAAUUC